CUGCCAGCUACCGUGGAAGUCACCUUGUGACUUUCAAUUCGCUUCACAUCACUUCGCGGCGUGAGCGUCACAGAAGCACUGGCCAGGCACAUUGCCUGCGUUUCUUAUAUAGAGCCAGCUGGCUGCUGCUGCUUCACAUCACUUCGCGGCGUGAGCGUCACAGAAGCACUGGCCAGGCACGUUGCCUGCGUUUCUUAUAUAGAGCCAGCUGGCUGCCAGCUACCGUUGAAAUCACAUUAUGACUUUCAAUUCAAAUCACUUCGCGGCAUGAGCGUCACAGAAGCACUGGCCAGGCACGUUGCCUGCAUUUCUUAUAUAGAGCCAGCUGGCUGCUGCUGCUUCACAUCACUUCGCGGCGUGAGCGUCACAGAAGCACUGGCCAGGCACGUUGCCUGCGUUUCUUAUAUAGAGCCAGCUGGCUGCCAGCUACCGUUGAAAUCACAUUAUGACUUUCAAUUCAAAUCACUUCGCGGCAUGAGCGUCACAGAAGCACUGGCCAGGCACGUUAGCUGCAUUUCUUAUAUAGAGCCAGCUGGCUGCCAGCUACCGUUGAAGUCACCUUGUGA